CUCGGAUCAAACCAACCUUUGUUAACGGAGGACAUUAAUCCUUAAAGGUGAUUUAGCAUCGACGUCGAAGCUAAGGCUGACAGGUGUUCCCACCAGGGCGCCCGCCCUGCUUGGCCACCCUGGCCUAGUGUCAGGUUUCAUUCUCCUUUGUUCUGGUGCCUUCCCGAACCUUCUAGAUCAUAUCUUUUCACGUGUUGGCUCGUUUCUCUCUAUGUAAACCUGACAUGUGGGUCUCCCUUAGCUCUUUUCUGAUCAGCCCCUGUAGAAAUAGACAUUCACCAAAACUCAUAGAAUUCUGUCAGUGUACCCCCUAUAUCUAUGUUGGUGAUUGCUUUUAAGCCCUUUCUCUAUUCUCUUGUUGAUAUAAAAAUGGUACUUAUCUACUAUCAACAAGCUCCCCCAAACUUACCCUUUGCUCGUCCCUGAGCAAAGAUAAACUCAGUGAUGGAUCAGGAGUUGCUGCAAUGCUUUCACGCCUCAAAAGUACACAUGCGUUCAAAGAAGAAUUCUCUUUAGAUUAGAGUAAACUAUUCUGACAUUAAACUUACCCAUAUUACCUUCCACCAUAGGGCUUGUAUCUAUCACUUGGGUCUUGAGCAGUUGAAAGAUAGAACGGUUAAGUCAGGCACUAUGUCUCUAGCUCAUCGAUCAACCUUCAUUCUGGUGUUUUUAUGGAUUUUCAAAUAAAACUCAGAGAUCUCUUUUUUAUGACCCUCUCAAGUCUCUCAUUUGUGGUAUUUAUGGAUCCUUACCAAGGCAUUAAUGGUGUAUGCCUUCUCUCAUCUCUCAAGGUAUAUGGUAUUUUUGGCAUUAGGCAUAGUAACAUUGUGCCCUCUCUGUGACGCCCUAUAACUAAUAAGCUUAUGUGGAGCUCAUAGGUGGGGAGACAGAUCAUACAUACUUGCAAACACUUAUUGUAAAUUUAAACAAUGGAUCCAGAGAAACAAGUCAUACAAUCAAAUCAAGAUGUGCAUGUGUGUGGGAUAUGGUGGAUGGUGGUGAAGGUGGGUGUGAGUGGUUAUGAAGCGGUGUAUAUGAUGGUAAUGGUGAAAGCCUAAUUCUACUUUUGCUCCUUGAAAAUACAUACCUCUCUUUUGAAUUUGAAGAUUCUAGGAGAACCUUGGUUGCUCACAAUCUCUUCUUUUUUUUCUUUUUGCUCUUUUUUCCAUUAGGACAUUUGUCCUCUUUCUUUAUUUCUCUUCUUUUUUAAUGAGCACCCAAGCUGAAAUUCCAAGUUUGGUUUUGGUAAUUAAUGACACCAAGUUGCUAAUGCCUUGUGUUUAAGUGAUUUGAGUUAGGCAUAGCAACACAUGUGAUGAAGGUGAGGCUGUGGCAUGGAAAGGUGGCCACAUGAUCACAAUGGGAUGAAGCAUGAAGUGGAGAUCAUGGUGAUAGAUGAGGAGGAAAGUGAUCAAGGCAAAGGUAUAAACAUAGGGUUUUGCUUUUGCCGGUCUAAGUUGAAUAGGGAAGUGAUUGACCAGAUUUAGUAUAGAUAGCUGACUAUAAAGAGGGGAAAUCACGGUUAUCUCCCAAAUCAAGUGCUACUAGGUCCAUAUCUUGAGCAUAUGCAUUAGGAUCUAGCAAAGUGCUAACCUAACUCCUUUAGGAAAAUGUUUGUGAAAAGCUAAUACACAUGCACUUUGGUGAUGGACACUUGUGGGUGUUAGCACAUUUGCAAAGGAGGUGGAGUUCCUAGGGUUGAGAGGGGUUUGGGUUCCUCUCUCCCUCCCGCCAAGCUUGCGAGGCGGGAUUCGACGCUUUUGAGAAAAUUAAGUGUAUAUUUUCUAUUGCGCCGGUGGGAAAUUUUGGGAAGUCGCGGGCAUGUUUCUCACUGAGAAACACUCACUAGACACAGUGUGUGGAGGCACCGGAUGCUGACCCUAGCAUCCGGUGUGCUGUCAAUGCUUGGCCGGGUUAGGGUUAAGCACCAGACGCACUAUACCGGACGUAGGGUAUUCCCUGUUCAUGCGUCCGGUGUGUCAUGUCUUCAGCUGAGGUUUUCUGACAAGGCACCAGACGCACCAGAGUGGGUUCCGUGCUCAGCGUUCGGUGUUAGUGAGGUUUGCAGACCUCUCUGUGCAUGAGUCCCGUGAGUGCUCCGAGUCCGGUGAGAUCGUAAGUUUGACAACCUCUCUGUGCACGAGACCGGUGAGUACCGGACGCAUCCGGUGCUCACUUGGUCACAUCCGGUGGUCCACAGGUGACCGUUAGAGAUUGACGCAUG
rnacentral:lncRNA from 1 species